GGCCAUGUUGACUAGCAAAUGUUAUGCAACUAAGAUUGUCUGAGAGAUAUCUCUGCUUGGAGCAACAACGUUGUCUUGAAGAGAUUACUGUUCAUCUCAUCUUCUAUUAUCGUGGACAAAAUGGGGAUCCUGACAGUUUGGAAAGCCUCUGCAGUUUACAUCUAUGUCUUUUUAAAAGUGAGGGGCUAACUGAGAUGUGAGACUGCAAGACUGAGCAGCCUUCUCUGCCACAUACGAUAAACGGUCUGUAAUGCAGAAGGGGGUAUAAUAUCACUACUAUUAGUUGUUAAACUUGCACGGAUCAGUGUGAGCUUGCUUGUGUGGCUCUGGGCUGACAAUGACUGCCUCUGAGUUCUGCCACCGUGUCACUGCUGUAUCACUUGUCUGACUUUUGCAGAUCUUAUCAUAGCCACGGUCCUACAGGGUUCCAUUGUAGAAUACUGGUGUAUGCAGACUCCUCCCUGCAAAACUGCUAUGGAAGCUCUUCUGGGUGAGGAAAGAACUAAGGGAGUAGGCACAGAUUUUCUCAUUUCAGGGAAAAACUGUCUCCUCUCAAGUCCUCUUUAUUUCAGUAUAUUUAUCUGAGCAUCUCUACACUAGCAGAAUAGUGUCAUUUAAAGAUAUCUAAGUUUUCAGAGAGUAACUUAAGGCUGGGACUGGUAGAAGGUGAACAUAUUUAGAAGAGGUCUCCAUGGGAGCCUGAGAGAAAUGCUCUGCUGAUCUAUUUCAACAUUUCCAGAAUCAAUGCUCAUCCUUACAGCUAGACAUGGGAGUGGCCUUGUUAUCAACAACCAUUCUCAUAUACUGAGUUCUUUGGAAGAGUGUUUUGCUGGACAAUCUGCAGUUAUGUGGGCUCUCUUUACAUGAAUGAUGGAGACUGGAAAUCCAACCCUCACUAUAUUUUCCAGAGGAAAACCAAUUCUUGUAUACAGUCUAUUCUGGUCUUGCAGAGAGAAGCCACUCUGUGACACGGAGAACUAGAUACUACUCUGUUAUGUAGCACAAAACAAAACUGUUAAAACUGCUAAUCUGUCACAGCCUAAAGGUGAAAAUUAGAAGGGAAGAUGAAUGAAGGGUUGAGAUUCUAGUCUGGAAUGUAAAAGAUCCUUUCUGCCCUGAAAUACUUCCGAUGUGGCUAUGGAUAACUCCUAAAUCCUGAAAGAAUAUAAUAUCAACAGUCAUACAUUUCAGCCUCAGUUGAGGAUCUGUGCCUUAAUUCCUCUGUUCCUGAGUUCUCCAUCUGUAAAAUGGAAAUAGUAAUAUUGCUCUACUUGGAAGUAAAAAUAUAUACUUAUCAUUCCAAUAUAUUAUUAUACAGUGGGUUGGUACAUGGAGCAUGGAGUUAUCUAAAAUAGGUAUCUAAAUCAAUCUACUAGGAAGAGUUUUGAGGGCCUGAAGCUCUAUACCAUAAAGCACCAGAAUCAGGCAUCUUCGUGCUUAUUCAAAUCAGUCUUACUAAAAACACAGUCUAUAUCAUCAAACAAAAAGCUCAUUUCUACUGUGCUGGAGCAGGGAUUUAUUUUGAAAUAAAUUUUGAAAUG
rnacentral:lncRNA from 7 species